CAGCCGCCGCGGUAAUACGUAGGUCCCGAGCGUUGUCCGGAUUUAUUGGGCGUAAAGGGAGCGCAGGCGGUUUAGUAAGUCUGAAGUUAAAGGCAUUGGCUCAACCAAUGUAUGCUUUGGAAACUGUUAGACUUGAGUGCAGAAGGGGAGAGUGGAAUUCCAUGUGUAGCGGUGAAAUGCGUAGAUAUAUGGAGGAACACCAGUGGCGAAGGCGACUCUCUGGUCUGUAACUGACGCUGAGGAGCGAAAGCGUGGGGAGCGAACAGGAUUAGAUACCCCUGUAGUCCCUGUCUCUUAUACA
rnacentral:rRNA from 1 species